rnacentral:rRNA from 1 species
CCUACGGGAGGCAGCAGUGGGGAAUUUUGGACAAUGGACGCAAGUCUGAUCCAGCCAUGCCGCGUGCGGGAAGAAGGCCUUCGGGUUGUAAACCGCUUUUGUCAGGGAAGAAAAGGUUCUGGUUAAUACCUGGGACUCAUGACGGUACCUGAAGAAUAAGCACCGGCUAACUACGUGCCAGCAGCCGCGGUAAUACGUAGGGUGCAAGCGUUAAUCGGAAUUACUGGGCGUAAAGCGUGCGCAGGCGGUUAUGCAAGACAGAGGUGAAAUCCCCGGGCUCAACCUGGGAACUGCCUUUGUGACUGCAUAGCUAGAGUACGGUAGAGGGGGAUGGAAUUCCGCGUGUAGCAGUGAAAUGCGUAGAUAUGCGGAGGAACACCGAUGGCGAAGGCAAUCCCCUGGACCUGUACUGACGCUCAUGCACGAAAGCGUGGGGAGCAAACAGGAUUAGAUACCCUGGUAGUCCACGCCCUAAACGAUGUCAACUGGUUGUUGGGAGGGUUUCUUCUCAGUAACGUAGCUAACGCGUGAAGUUGACCGCCUGGGGAGUACGGCCGCAAGGUUGAAACUUAAAGGAAUUGACGGCUGNGAGNGCGAGCGACGACGAGGAGAGG